AGAGUUUGAUUCUGGCUCAGGAUGAACGCUAGCGACAGGCUUAACACAUGCAAGUCGAGGGGCAGCACAGGUAGCAAUACCGGGUGGCGACCGGCGCACGGGUGAGUAACGCGUAUGCAACUUGCCUAUCAGAGGGGGAUAACCCGGCGAAAGUCGGACUAAUACCGCAUGAAGCAGGGGCCCCGCAUGGGGAUAUUUGCUAAAGAUUCAUCGCUGAUAGAUAGGCAUGCGUUCCAUUAGGCAGUUGGCGGGGUAACGGCCCACCAAACCGACGAUGGAUAGGGGUUCUGAGAGGAAGGUCCCCCACAUUGGUACUGAGACACGGACCAAACUCCUACGGGAGGCAGCAGUGAGGAAUAUUGGUCAAUGGCCGAGAGGCUGAACCAGCCAAGUCGCGUGAGGGAUGAAGGUUCUAUGGAUCGUAAACCUCUUUUAUAAGGGAAUAAAGUGCGGGACGUGUCCCGUUUUGUAUGUACCUUAUGAAUAAGGAUCGGCUAACUCCGUGCCAGCAGCCGCGGUAAUACGGAGGAUCCGAGCGUUAUCCGGAUUUAUUGGGUUUAAAGGGUGCGUAGGCGGCCUUUUAAGUCAGCGGUGAAAGUCUGUGGCUCAACCAUAGAAUUGCCGUUGAAACUGGGGGGCUUGAGUAUGUUUGAGGCAGGCGGAAUGCGUGGUGUAGCGGUGAAAUGCAUAGAUAUCACGCAGAACCCCGAUUGCGAAGGCAGCCUGCCAAGCCAUUACUGACGCUGAUGCACGAAAGCGUGGGGAUCAAAAGGGAUUAGAUACCCUGGUAGUCCACGCAGUAAACGAUGAUCACUAGCUGUUUGCGAUACACUGUAAGCGGCACAGCGAAAGCGUUAAGUGAUCCACCUGGGGAGUACGCCGGCAACGGUGAAACUCAAAGGAAUUGACGGGGGCCCGCACAAGCGGAGGAACAUGUGGUUUAAUUCGAUGAUACGCGAGGAACCUUACCCGGGUUUGAACGCAUUCGGACCGAGGUGGAAACACCUUUUCUAGCAAUAGCCGUUUGCGAGGUGGUGCAUGAUUGUCGUCAGCUCGUGCCGUGAGGUGUCGGCUUAAGUGCCAUAACGAGCGCAACCCUUGCCACUAGUUACUAACAGGUGAUGCUGAGGACUCUGGUGGGACUGCCAGCGUAAGCUGCGAGGAAGGCGGGGAGGACGUCAAAUCAGCACGGCCCUUACAUCCGGGGCGACACACGUGUUACAAUGGCGUGGACAAAGGGAUGCCACCUGGCGACAGGGAGCGAAUCCCCAAACCACGUCUCAGUUCGGAUCGGAGUUUGCAACCCGACUCCGUGAAGCUGGAUUCGCUAGUAAUUGCGCAUCAGCCAUGGCGCGGUGAAAAAAUUCCCGGGCCUUGU
rnacentral:rRNA from 1 species